UUAAUAAUUUAUGGUUACAUAUUAUUAUAUUAUUAUUGCGCGCGUGAUAUUGUAAAAAAUUGUAAUCGCAGUUGGUAUUUUAUAAGUCAUCAGUUAUCAUUCUGACGGCUUUGGUGAAUAUUAUUUACGAGAUCAUUUUCUAAAAAAUUGUAUGUUGUUUAUAAAAUAAUACAACGCAUCAUAUUAGGUAUAUUACAUAAAUCGCGAUGAAUUUUGUAUUAUUGUUGUUAACUAUUUGCAUAGCUAUGGCAGUAAAUGGAAGAAAUUUAAUACGAACUUCACCUAGCAGUCGGCUGAGGAUGUCAACUACUCCAAUUAUAAUAAAUUCUGAAGGGAAUGAAUAAGAAGAGAAAGCCCCUGGAAUUUACUGAAAACUAUGUUUAUAAAGACCAAGUGUUGUAAUUUUAUUAUUAUUAUUAAAAAUAUAAAAUAUUACAUGUUAAGAUAAACUAAGAAAAUAUGGUAUUAUAAUAUACCUUGUGAAAUCUAGUUGGCUAGAAUACUUGUGUGCAAAUAGUUUGUAGGUAGGUAUUACAAUAAUAAUUGUUAAUAUAUUUUUUUUCCUUUAUGAUUUCUAUAUUUAAAUACCGAAUUUUGAAAUUUGAAAUUUUUGUACUUACAUAAUAUAUAUAUUUAUUGAUACCUUA